GACGAACGCUGGCGGCGUGCUUAACACAUGCAAGUCGAACGGAAAGGCCCUGCUUUUGUGGGGUGCUCGAGUGGCGAACGGGUGAGUAACACGUGAGUAACCUGCCCUUGACUUUGGGAUAACUUCAGGAAACUGGGGCUAAUACCGGAUAGGAGCUCCUGCUGCAUGGUGGGGGUUGGAAAGUUUCGGCGGUUGGGGAUGGACUCGCGGCUUAUCAGCUUGUUGGUGGGGUAGUGGCUUACCAAGGCUUUGACGGGUAGCCGGCCUGAGAGGGUGACCGGCCAAAAUGGGACUGAGAUACCGCCCAGACUCCUACGGGAGGCAGCAGUGGGGAAUAUUGCACAAUGGGCGGAAGCCUGAUGCAGCAACGCCGCGUGCGGGAUGACGGCCUUCGGGUUGUAAACCGCUUUCGCCUGUGACGAAGCGUGAGUGACGGUAAUGGGUAAAGAAGCACCGGCUAACUACGUG
rnacentral:rRNA from 1 species